CCGCUGCCGACAAGCCAACGGCGGCCGCGGGACUUGCGCGAUCAGCCAGCCAGCCCUGUGGAGUGCGCGGCGCGGCUGGUCCCAGACGACAACGACGAAACGCCAGGCGAGAUCCUAUCACGAACGCUCUUCUCAAGGCAUGGCGGCGCCGACCGGUGCCCGUCCGCCACGCAAACCACCCACGCCCCGACACGAGGCGCCCGGCCAAACUACCGGUCCAUUUCGGCAGCCGCGAGAGGAUCGGGAGCGGCGCGUCGCGCCGUCGACGGGGAGGCUAUAAGAGCGUCCUCCGUGGUGCGUGGGUGACGCCGACCAGUGCUAGCUGCAGCGCCCGCGCAGCCCAGCGAUGGCGACGCCGCCGCCCCGGCCGCCGCUCCUCGGCAUCGUGCUCGCGCUGUGCCUCUGCUGCUGCGCGCCUCGCCUGCGCGCGGAUGAGGGCCGGCGCAGGGCCCCCGGCGGCGGGUACCGCGUCCGGGCCGUCGCGGUGGACGAGGGAGAGACGCAGCUCCGCGCCGAGCUCGAGCUCGAGGCCGACGCCGCCGCCGCCACCGGCGCGUCCGCGGCGGCGUACGGCGAGGACGUGCGGAAGCUCGACGUGUACGCCAGCCUUGAGACGAGCAGCCGGCUCCACGUCCGCAUCACCGACGCCGACCACCCGCGGUGGGAGGUCCCCCAGGACGUAAUCCCCCGCGAGGCGCCCCGGCAGCACGUCCAGCUCGACGCGAGCACGGGGGGCGACGCCUCGCCGCGCAGCCGCGUCCUCUCGGCGGCGACCUCCGACCUCACCUUCACCCUCCACGCCUCCCCGUUCCGCUUCACCGUGUCCCGCCGCUCCACGGGGGACGCCCUCUUCGACACCGCCCCGGGCCUCGUCUUCAAGGACCGGUACCUCGAGCUCACCACGGCGCUCCCCGCCGGCAGGGCGUCGCUCUACGGCCUCGGCGAGCACACCAAGCGCACCUUCCGGCUGCAGCGCAAUGACACCUUCACGCUCUGGAACGCCGACAUCGCCGCCUCCAACGUCGACCUCAACCUCUACGGCUCCCACCCGUUCUACCUCGACGUGCGCUCGGCGGCCCCCGGCGGCGCCGCCGCCGGGGCCGGCGCGGCGCACGGGGUGCUCCUGCUCAACAGCAACGGCAUGGAUGUCGAGUACGGCGGGUCGUUCCUCACCUACAAGGUCAUCGGCGGCGUGCUCGACUUCUACUUCUUCGCCGGCCCCGCCCCGCUCGACGUCGUCGACCAGUACACCCAGCUCAUCGGCCGCCCGGCCCCCAUGCCGUACUGGUCCUUCGGGUUUCACCAGUGCAGGUACGGGUACAACAACCUGGCUGACCUGGAGGGCGUGGUGGCCGGCUACGCCAAGGCCAGGAUCCCGCUGGAGGUGAUGUGGACGGACAUCGACUACAUGGACGCCUUAAAGGACUUCACCCUGGACCCCGUCAACUUCCCGGCCGGCCCGAUGCGGCAGUUCGUCGACCGCCUUCACCGGAACGGCCAGAAAUACGUCGUCAUCCUCGACCCAGGGAUCAACGUGAACGAGACGUACGGGACGUUCGUCCGCGGGAUGCAGCAGGACGUGUUCCUGAAGCGGAACGGCACCAACUACCUCGGCAAGGUGUGGCCGGGGCUCGUCUACUUCCCGGACUUCCUCAACCCGCGCGUCGCCGCGUUCUGGGCGACGGAGAUCGCACUGUUCCGGCGGACCCUCCCCGUCGACGGGCUCUGGAUCGACAUGAACGAGGUCUCCAACUUCGUGGACCCGCCGCCGCUGGACGCGCUGGACGACCCGCCGUACCGCAUCAACAACUCCGGCGUGCGCCGCCCCAUCAACAACAAGACCGCACCGGCGUCCGCCGUGCACUUCGGCGGCGUCCGCGAGUACGACGCGCACAACCUCUACGGCCUCCUCGAGGCGCGCGCCACGCACGGCGCGCUGCUCGCCGACACCGGCCGCCGCCCCUUCGUGCUCAGUCGCUCCACCUUCGUCGGCUCCGGCCGCUACACCGCGCACUGGACCGGCGACAACGCCGCGACGUGGGCCGACCUCCGCUACUCCAUCAACACCAUGCUCAGCUUCGGCCUCUUCGGCAUCCCCAUGGUCGGCGCCGACAUCUGCGGCUUCGACGGCGACACCACCGAAGAGCUCUGCAGCCGCUGGAUCCAGCUCGGCGCCUUCUACCCGUUCUCGAGGGACCACUCGGCGAUCGGCACCGUCCGGCGAGAGCUCUACCUGUGGGAGUCGGUGGCGCGGUCGGCGAGGAAGGCGCUCGGCCUGCGCUACCGGCUGCUGCCGUACAUCUACACGCUGAUGCACGAGGCGCACACCACGGGGGCGCCCAUCACGCGGCCGCUCUUCUUCUCCUACCCCAGGUCCCCAAGGACGUGAACACCUACGGGGUGGACCGGCAGUUCCUGCUCGGCCGCGGCGUGCUCGUGUCGCCGGUGCUCGAGCCGGGCGCCACCACCGUCGACGCCUACUUCCCCGCCGGCCGGUGGUUCAGCCUCUUCGACUACUCGCUCGCCGCCGCCUCGGCGACCGGCAGCCGCGUGACGCUCCCGGCAGCCGCGGACACGGUGAACGUGCACGUCGCCGGCGGCAACAUCCUGCCGCUGCAGCAGCCGGCGAUGACCACGGCGCGCGCGCGCCGGAGCGCGUUCCAGCUCCUGGUCGCGCUCGGCGAGGACGGAUCCGCCGCCGGGGAGCUGUUCCUGGACGACGGCGAGUCGCCGGAGAUGGCCGGGCCGCGGGGCCAGUGGACCCUGGUACGGUUCACCUGCAAGACGGGGCGCGGCGGCGCCACGGUGAGGUCGCAUGUCGUGCACGACUCGUACGGGCCGAGCCGGAAGCUGGUCAUCGGCAAGGUGGUGUUCCUGGGCCUGCGUUCGCCGGCGCCGCCGAGGGGGUUCGCCGUGUACGUCAACGGCGUCAAGGCGGCCAACUCGACCGGCCGCGCCCAGGGGUACCGGGGCAGCGGGACGCUCGGCGCCGCUCACGCGGAGGGACUGUCGCUGGCCAUCGGCAAGGAGUUCGAGCUCAAGGUCGUCAUGUCGUAACAUGGGAUUGGAGCUCUGAAUUCUGAAAUGGUGCGUAUGCUUUGAAUAAAAAUUGAUCAUCAGAAGAUUAAACUUGAAAUAAAUGGCAUCUCAGUAA